AGGAAGUGGACGGCCAUUUGCUGCACGAUAACUUCACGCGCAGUCGGCCAUUUGCCGCACGAUAUAUUUAUUAGUAGCAAGAACUGCAAACGUGAGAAAUCUAGUGGACUCGUUUAACUCCUUUGAAGAGAAGAAAGCUAUCAGUGAAUUUGAAGAAAAUACAAAAUCCAACUUCAUUAUUUUGGAACAGAACAAACACUUUGUAAAUGAAAGAUCAGACAUGGAGCAGUGGCCACUACCCCACAAUGUCACCAGAGCACUGAUCUCUGAAUCCCCAGAGGUCUCCAGGGCUGCCUGACUGUGAGGUGAUGAAGAUCUCCCUUUGGAAGGUGACUUGCAUGGCUAACUGGUAGCCUCUGUAGCUACCUCUCAGGAGGAGGAAGGUUCUUCUUCAGAGGUUACUCAGUUUAAUUGUGAUUGAGAAUGCACAGUCAGUGUAUACUUGCUAGGAUUACACUUGAAGGACUGUAAAAUUUUGGUUCAGCUGACUGACACUUUAAUAUUGCUCUAAAGUGUAUGUAAUGUUACGUCGGUUUCAUUUUUCCAAGACUUUUGUGUUUCUAAUGCCAUGAUG